GAUUUCUGACGAAACUGCUAGCUGGCCCGCCACGUCAGUGUGUGAGUGCCGGCUUGGCGUUUGUCAUCCGUUCGAAUGAUAUGCAUGCUGCCCUUCACUGGGUUGGCAUUGCAUGUUUUCGAUCUUUUACUUUGAAAAAAUUAGAGUGUUUCAAGCAGGCAUGUUUGCUGUGAAUACAUUAGCAUGGAAUAAUAAUCUAGGACUUCGGUUCUAUUUUGUUGGUUUCUAUAACUGAAGUAAUGAUUGAUAGGGAUAGUUGGGGGUGCUAGUAUUCAGCGGCCAGAGGUGAAAUUCUCGGAUUCGCUGAAGACUAACUUAUGCGAAAGCAUU
rnacentral:rRNA from 1 species